rnacentral:rRNA from 1 species
UACGAAGGGUGCAAGCGUUACUCGGAAUUACUGGGCGUAAAGCGUGCGUAGGUGGUUCGUUAAGUCUGAUGUGAAAGCCCUGGGCUCAACCUGGGAAUGGCAUUGGAUACUGGCGACCUAGAGUGCGGUAGAGGGGUGUGGAAUUCCCGGUGUAGCAGUGAAAUGCGUAGAUAUUCGGAGGAACACCAGUGGCGAAGGCGACUUGCUGGAUCUUUGCUGACGCUGAGACGCGAAAGCGUGGGGAGCAAACAGG